GGGGCUGUAGCUCAGUGGUAGAGCACUCGCCUCGCACGUGUGAGGCACUGGGUUCGAUCGUCAGCACCA
rnacentral:tRNA from 1 species